rnacentral:rRNA from 1 species
CCAGACUCCUACGGGGGCAGCAGUAGGGAAUCUUCGGCAAUGGGGGGAACCCUGACCGAGCAACGCCGCGUGAGUGAAGAAGGUUUUCGGAUCGUAAAGCUCUGUUGUAAGAGAAGAACGGGUGUGAGAGUGGAAAGUUCACACUGUGACGGUAUCUUACCAGAAAGGGACGGCUAACUACGUGCCAGCAGCCGCGGUAAUACGUAGGUCCCGAGCGUUGUCCGGAUUUAUUGGGCGUAAAGCGAGCGCAGGCGGUUAGAUAAGUCUGAAGUUAAAGGCUGUGGCUUAACCAUAGUAUGCUUUGGAAACUGUUUAACUUGAGUGCAGAAGGGGAGAGUGGAAUUCCAUGUGUAGCGGUGAAAUGCGUAGAUAUAUGGAGGAACACCGGUGGCGAAAGCGGCUCUCUGGUCUGUAACUGACGCUGAGGCUCGAAAGCGUGGGGAGCAAACAGGAUUAGAUACCCUGGUAGUCCACGCCGUAAACGAUGAGUGCUAGGUGUUAGGCCCUUUCCGGGGCUUAGUGCCGCAGCUAACGCAUUAAGCACUCCGCCUGGGGAGUACGACCGCAAGGUUGAAACUCAAAGGAAUUGACGGGGGCCCGCACAAGAGGGCGAA